GACGAACGCUGGCGGCGUGCUUAACACAUGCAAGUCGAACGGAAAGGCCCUGCUUUUGUGGGGUGCUCGAGUGGCGAACGGGUGAGUAACACGUGAGUAACCUGCCCUUGACUUUGGGAUAACUUCAGGAAACUGGGGCUAAUACCGGAUAGGAGCUCCUGCUGCAUGGUGGGGGUUGGAAAGUUUCGGCGGUUGGGGAUGGACUCGCGGCUUAUCAGCUUGUUGGUGGGGUAGUGGCUUACCAAGGCUUUGACGGGUAGCCGGCCUGAGAGGGUGACCGGCCACAUUGGGACUGAGAUACGGCCCAGACUCCUACGGGAGGCAGCAGUGGCGAAGCUUGCACAAUGGGCGGAAGCCUGAUGCAGCAGCGCCGCGUGCGGGAUGACUGCCUUCUGGUUGUAAACCGCUUUCGCCUGUGACGAAGCGUGAGUGACGGUAAUGGGUAAAGAAGCUCCGGCUAACUACGUG
rnacentral:rRNA from 1 species